rnacentral:rRNA from 1 species
AGGCGAGGCCGAAAGGCGUAGUCGAUGGGAAACAGGUUAAUAUUCCUGUACUUGGUGUUACUGCGAAGGGGGGACGGAGAAGGCUAUGUUGGCCGGGCGACGGUUGUCCCGGUUUAAGCGUGUAGGCUGGUUUUCCAGGCAAAUCCGGAAAAUCAAGGCUGAGGCGUGAUGACGAGGCACUACGGUGCUGAAGCAACAAAUGCCCUGCUUCCAGGAAAAGCCUCUAAGCAUCAGGUAACAUCAAAUCGUACCCCAAACCGACACAGGUGGUCAGGUAGAGAAUACCAAGGCGCUUGAGAGAACUCGGGUGAAGGAACUAGGCAAAAUGGUGCCGUAACUUCGGGAGAAGG